rnacentral:rRNA from 1 species
GACGAACGCUGGCGGCGUGGAUUAGGCAUGCAAGUCGAACGGUAUCAUCCUUUCGGGGGUGAGAGAGUGGCGAACUGGUGAGUAACACGUAGGUUAUCUACCCUCAAGACGGGGACAACCCAGGGAAACUUGGGCUAAUACCGGAUGUGAGCAACUUUUAGUUGUUUGAAAGGUGGCGUAAGCUGUCGCUUGGGGAUGAGCCUGCGUCCUAUUAGUUAGUUGGUGAGGUAACGGCUCACCUAGGCAAUGAUAGGUAGGCGGCCUUAACGGGUGGUCGCCCACACUGGGAUUGAGAUACGGCCCAGACUCCUACGGGAGGCAGCAGUCGAGAAUAGUCUACAAUGGUCGGAAGACUGAUAGUGCGACGCCGCGUGAACGAUGAAUCCCUUCGGGGUGUAAAGUUCUUUUAUAUGUGAGCAGUGCUUCUUAUAUUAACAGUAUGGGGAAGAGAUAUUAGCAUAUGAAUAAGCAACGGCUAACUCCGUGCCAGCAGCCGCGGUAAUA